rnacentral:rRNA from 1 species
GAUGAACGCUGGCGGCGUGCCUAACACAUGCAAGUUGAGCGAGAAAUCACUUAAAGAAGCUUCGGUAGACUUAAGAGAUGGAGAGCAGCGGACGGGUGAGUAACGCGUGGGAAACCUGCCCUUGACAGGAGGAUAGCCGAGAGAAAUUUCGAUUAAUACUUCAUAAAGCAGAGCAUUCGCAUGGAUGAACUGCCAAAGAAUUAUCGGUCAAGGAUGGUCCCGCGUCUGAUUAGCUGGUUGGUAAGGUAGCGGCUUACCAAGGCGACGAUCAGUAGCCGGCCUGAGAGGGUGAACGGCCACAUUGGAACUGAGACACGGUCCAGACUCCUACGGGAGGCAGCAGUGGGGAAUAUUGCACAAUGGGCGAAAGCCUGAUGCAGCAACGCCGCGUGAAGGAAGAAGGCUUUCGAGUCGUAAACUUCUGUCCAAAGGGAAGAAGAAUGACGGUACCUUUGAAGAAAGCCCCGGCUAACUACGUGCCAGCAGCCGCGGUAAUACGUAGGGGGCGAGCGUUAUCCGGAAUUACUGGGCGUAAAGAGUAUGUAGGUGGUUAAGUAAGCGUAGGGUUUAAGGCGACAGCCCAACUGUCGUAUGCCCCGCGAACUGUUUAACUUGAGUACAGGAGGGGAAGGCGGAAUUCCUAGUGUAGCGGUGAAAUGCGUAGAUAUUAGGAGGAACACCAGUGGCGAAGGCGGCCUUCUGGACUGUAACUGACACUGAGAUACGAAAGCGUGGGUAGCAAACAGG